GUAUAAGCAAUUAUACAGCGAAACUGCGAAUGGCUCAUUAUAUAAGUUAUCGUUUAUUUGAUAGUGCCUUACUACUUGGAUAACCGUGGUAAUUCUAGAGCUAAUACAUGCUAAAAACCCCGACUUCGGAAGGGGUGUAUUUAUUAGAUACAAAACCAAUGCCCUUCGGGGCUCCUUGGUGAUUCAUGAUAACUAUACGAAUCGCACGGCCUUGCGCCGGCGAUGGUUCAUUCAAAUUUCUUCCCUAUCAACUUUCGAUGUUUGGGUAUUGGCCAAACAUGGUUGCAACGGGUAACGGAGGGUUAGGGCUCGACCCCGGAGAAGGAGCCUGAGAAACGGCUACUACAUCCAAGGAAGGCAGCAGGCGCGCAAAUUACCCAAUCCCGACUCGGGGAGGUAGUGACAAUAAAUACUGAUACAGGGCCCUUUCGGGCCUUGUAAUUGGAAUGAGUACAAUUUAAAUCCCUUAACGAGGAACAAUUGGAGGGCAAGUCUGGUGCCAGCAGCCGCGGUAAUUCCAGCUCCAAUAGCGUAUAUUAAAGUUGUUGUGGUUAAAAAGCUCGUAGUUGAACCUUGGGCCUGGCUGGCCGGUCCGCCUCACCGCGUGCACUGGUCCGGCCGGGCCUUUCCCUCUGUGGAACCCCAUACCCUUCACUGGGCGUGGCGGGGAAACAGGACAUUUACUUUGAAAAAAUUAGAGUGCUCCAGGCAGGCCUAUGCUCGAAUACAUUAGCAUGGAAUAAUAAAAUAGGACGCGCGGUUCUAUUUUGUUGGUUUAUAGGACCGCCGUAAUGAUUAAUAGGGACAGUCGGGGGCAUCAGUAUUCAACUGUCAGAGGUGAAAUUCUUGG
rnacentral:rRNA from 1 species